UCUGGCUCUGUUUGCAGCGC
rnacentral:miRNA from 1 species